GAUGAACGCUAGCGGGAGGCCUAACACAUGCAAGCUGAGCGGUAUUUGUCUUUCGGGACAGAGAGAGCGGCGUACGGGUGCGUAACACGUGUGCAACCUGCCUUUAUCAGGAGGAUAGCCUUUCGAAAGGAAGAUUAAUACUCCAUAAUAUAUUAAUUGGCAUCAAUUGAUAUUGAAAACUCCGGUGGAUAAAGAUGGGCACGCGCAAGAUUAGAUAGUUGGUGAGGUAACGGCUCACCAAGUCGAUGAUCUUUAGGGGCCUGAGAGGGUGAUCCCCACACUGGUACUGAGACACGGACCAGACUCCUACGGGAGGCAGCAGUGAGGAAUAUUGGACAAUGGGUUAGCGCCUGAUCCAGCCAUCCCGCGUGAAGGAUUAAGACCUA
rnacentral:rRNA from 1 species